UACGUAGGGGGCAAGUGUUGUCCGGAUUUAUUGGGCGUAAAGAGCGUGUAGGCGGCCAAGCAGGUCCGCUGUGAAAACUCGAGGCUCAACCUCGAGACGUCGGUGGAAACCGUUUGGCUAGAGUCCGGAAGAGGAGAGUGGAAUUCCCGGUGUAGCGGUGAAAUGCGCAGAUAUCGGGAAGAACACCCGUGGCGAAGGCGGCUCUCUGGGACGGUACUGACGCUGAGACGCGAA
rnacentral:rRNA from 1 species